UGACAAAGGAAUAUUGACUGUUACGUGUCACAUUCUUAUUGAAUCAUGACUGUCACAUGUCAUAUUCUAUUGUUAUCAUUGGUCAAUCAGAACAUCAGAACGUGACACGUAACAGUCAACAUUC
rfam:Glycine soja cultivar W05 scaffold523_165, whole genome shotgun sequence.